rnacentral:rRNA from 1 species
AGGACGAACGCUGGCGGCGUGCCUAAUACAUGCAAGUCGAACGGUCUUUCUAUGGAAGCUUGCUUCCACUGAGAAGAUAGUGGCGAACGGGUGAGUAACACGUGGGUAACCUGCCCAUAAGAGGGGGGAUAACAUCCGGAAACGGGUGCUAAUACCGCAUAGUUUUCUUGAUCGCAUGAUCGGGAAAGGAAAGACGGCCUUUGUGCUGUCGCUUAUGGAUGGACCCGCGGCGUAUUAGUUAGUUGGUGAGGUAACGGCUCACCAAGACGAUGAUACGUAGCCGACCUGAGAGGGUGAUCGGCCACAUUGGGACUGAGACACGGCCCAAACUCCUACGGGAGGCAGCAGUAGGGAAUCUUCCGCAAUGGACGAAAGUCUGACGGAGCAACGCCGCGUGAGUGAAGAAAGGUUUUCGGAUCGUAAAACUCUGUUGUCAGAGAGGAACAAGUUGGAGAGUAACUGCUCCAGCCUUGACGGUAUCUGACCAGAAAGCCACGGCUAACUACGUGCCAGCAGCGGC